GCUUUCGUGGUGUAGUGGUUAUCACAUAUGCUUUACACGCAUCAGGUCCCCGGUUCGAACCCGGGCGAAAGCA
rnacentral:tRNA from 1 species